rnacentral:rRNA from 1 species
UACAGAGGUCCCAAGCGUUGUUCGGAUUCAUUGGGCGUAAAGGGUGCGUAGGCGGCGCGGUAAGUCGGGUGUGAAAUCUCGGGGCUUAACUCCGAAACUGCAUUCGAUACUACCGUGCUUGAGGACUGGAGAGGAGACUGGAAUUUACGGUGUAGCGGUGAAAUGCGUAGAUAUCGUAAGGAAGACCAGUGGCGAAGGCGGGUCUCUGGACAGUUCCUGACGCUGAGGCACGAAGGCCAGGGGAGCAAACGGG